rnacentral:rRNA from 1 species
AUACGUAGGGUGCAAGCGUUAAUCGGAAUUACUGGGCGUAAAGCGUGCGCAGGCGGUUUUGUAAGACAGAGGUGAAAUCCCCGGGCUCAACCUGGGAACUGCCUUUGUGACUGCAAGGCUAGAGUACGGCAGAGGGGGAUGGAAUUCCGCGUGUAGCAGUGAAAUGCGUAGAUAUGCGGAGGAACACCGAUGGCGAAGGCAUACCCCUGGGCAUGUACUGACGCUCAUGCACGAAAGCGUGGGGAGCAAACAGGAUUAGAGUCCCUGGUAGUCCACGCCCUAAACGAUGUCAACUGGUUGUUGGGUCUUCAUUGACUCAGUAACGAAGCUAACGCGUGAAGUUGACCGCCUGGGGAGUACGGCCGCAAGGUUGAAACUCAAAUGAAUUGACGGGG